rnacentral:rRNA from 1 species
AACUAACGCUGGCGGCGUGCCUAACACAUGCAAGUCGAACGAGAAAGGGUCCUUCGGGACCUGAGUAGAGUGGCGCACGGGUGAGUAACGCGUGGGUAAUCUACCCUUCAGUUGGGAAUAACUCAUCGAAAGGUGGGCUAAUACCGAAUAAUACGGCUGGACACAAGUUCGGUCGUCAAAGAUAGCCUCUGCUUGCAAGCUUUCGCUGAAGGAUGAGCCCGCGUCCCAUUAGCUGGUUGGUAGGGUAAUGGCCUACCAAGGCGACGAUGGGUAGCUGGUCUGAGAGGAUGAUCAGCCACACUGGAACUGAGACACGGUCCAGACUCCUACGGGAGGCAGCAGUGAGGAAUC